ACGUCAAAUCAUCAUGCCCCUUAUGUCUUGGGCUACACACGUGCUACAAUGGGCGAAACAAAGUGAAGCGAAACUGUGAAGUGGAGCAAAUCACAAAAGGCGUCCUCAGUUCGGAUUGCAGUCUGCAACUCGACUGCAUGAAGUUGGAAUCGCUAGUAAUCGCGGAUCAGCAUGCCGCGGUGAAUACGUUCCCGGGCCUU
rnacentral:rRNA from 1 species